rnacentral:rRNA from 1 species
GAUGAACGCUGGCGGCGUGCCUAAUACAUGCAAGUCGAGCGAACGGACGAGAAGCUUGCUUCUCUGAUGUUAGCGGCGGACGGGUGAGUAACACGUGGAUAACCUACCUAUAAGACUGGGAUAACUUCGGGAAACCGGAGCUAAUACCGGAUAAUAUUUUGAACCGCAUGGUUCAAAAGUGAAAGACGGUCUUGCUGUCACUUAUAGAUGGAUCCGCGCUGCAUUAGCUAGUUGGUAAGGUAACGGCCUACCAAGGCAACGAUGCAUAGCCGACCUGAGAGGGUGAUCGGCCACACGGGAACUGAGACACGGUCCAGACUCCUACGGGAGGCAGCAGUAGGGAAUCUUCCGCAAUGGGCGAAAGCCUGACGGAGCAACGCCGCGUGAGUGAUGAAGGUCUUCGGAUCGUAAAACUCUGUUAUUAGGGAAGAACAUAUGUGUAAGUAACUGUGCACAUCUUGACGGUACCUAAUCAGAAAGCCACGGCUAACUACGUG